ensembl:lncRNA
UGGGGCAAUGGGAUCCCAGUAACAUGGGACAAUGGGAUCCCAGUAAUGGGGCAAUGGGAUCCCAGUAACAUGGGACAAUGGGAUCCCAGUAAUGGAGCAAUGGGAUCCCAGUAAUGUGGGGCAGUGGGAUCCCAGUGAUGUGGGGCAGCGGGAUCCCAGUAAUGGGACAAUGGGAUCCCAGUAACGUGGGACAAUGGGAUCCCAGUAAAAUGGGACAAUGGGAUCCCAGUAAAAUGGGACAAGGGGAUCCCAGUAAUGUGGGGCACUGGGCUCUGUAUGGGAAAUUGAUACUGGGACCCCAGUGCCAUCCCAUACUGGGACCCCGGUGCCGUGGGGCAGCGGGAAAUGGGAGAGCGGCUCCGAAAGGCGUCAAUAAACGGAGGUGGACGCUGUGGGUCCGGUGCGGUUUGGCCGUGGGGCGCGUGGGGACACUGGGGACAUGGGGUCGUGGUGGGUCUCCAACUGUUGACUGGGGACAUUGGGGACACUGGGGACAUUGAGGGCAUUGGGGACAUUGGGGACACUGGGGACAUGGGGUCGUGGUGGGUCUCCAUCUGUUGACUGGGGACAUUGGGGACGUUGGGGACAUGGGGUCGUGGUGGGUCUCCAUCCAUUGUGUUGGGGACACUGGGGACAUAGGGUCAUGUUGGAUCUCCAACUGUUGACCGGGGACACUGGGACAUUGGGGACACUGGGGACACUGGGGACAUGGGGUUGUGUUGGGUCUCCAUCCGUUGCUUUGGGGACAUUGGGGACACUGGAGACAUGGGGUCGUCGUGGGUCUCUGUCCAUUGCUUUGGGGACAUUGGGGACAUAGGGUCAUGUUGGAUCUCCAACUGUUGACCGGGGACACUGGGACAUUGGGGACACUGGGGACACUGGGGACAUCGGGUCGUGUUGGGUCUCCAACUGUUGACUGGGGACAUUGGGGACACUGGGGACAUGGGGUCAUGGUGGGUCUCCAUCCAUUGUGUUGGGGACACUGGGACACUGGGGAC